UAGGGAAUCUUCCACAAUGGGCGCAAGCCUGAUGGAGCAACACCGCGUGAGUGAAGAAGGGUUUUGGCUCGUAAAGCUCUGUUGUUAAAGAAGAACACGUAUGAGAGUAACUGUUCAUACGUUGACGGUAUUUAACCAGAAAGUCACGGCUAACUACGUGCCAG
rnacentral:rRNA from 1 species